rnacentral:rRNA from 1 species
CGGGAGGCAGCAGCUAAGAAUAUUCCGCAAUGGACGGAAGUCUGACGGAGCGACGCCGCGUGGAUGAAGAAGGCUGAAAAGUUGUAAAAUCCUUUUGUUGAUGAAGAAUAAGGAUGAGAGGGAAUGCUCAUCUGAUGACGGUAAUCGACGAAUAAGCCCCGGCUAAUUACGUGCCAGCAGCCGCGGUAACACGUAAGGUGCGAGCGUUGUUCGGAAUUAUUGGGCGUAAAGGGCAUGUAGGCGGAUAGGCAAGCUUGGUGUGAAAUGUUACAGCUUAACUGUGAGACAGCAUUGAGAACUGCCGAUCUUGAAUUACUGAAGGGUAACCAGAAUUCCACGUGUAGGGGUGAAAUCUGUAGAUAUGUGGAAGAAUACCAAUGGCGAAGGCAGGUUACCGGCAGAUAAUUGACGCUGAGGUGCGAAAGUGCGGGGAGCGAACAGGAUUAGAUACCCUGGUAGUCCGCACCGUAAACGAUGUACACUAGGUGUCUGGCAUAACAGCUGGGUGCCAAAGCAAACGUGAUAAGUGUACCGCCUGGGGAGUAUGCCCGCAAGGGUGAAACUCAAAGGAAUUGACGGGGGCCCGCACAAGCGGUGGAGCAUGUGGUUUAAUUCGAUGGUACGCGAGGAACCUUACCUGGGUUUGACAUAGUAUCUGAUGCCGUAGAGAUACGGCAGCGUAGCAAUACGAGGUACAACAGGUGCUGCAUGGCUGUCGUCAGCUCGUGCCGUGAGGUGUUGGGUUAAGUCCCGCAACGAGUGCAACCCCUACUG